CCCUGGUUAGCUCAGCUGGUAGAGCGCUCCACCUGUAAUGGAGAGGUCCCGGGUUCGAUACCCGGACCAGGCG
rfam:Ixodes scapularis strain Wikel colony gcontig_1108378582348, whole genome shotgun sequence.